UACGUAGGGUGCGAGCGUUAAUCGGAAUUACUGGGCGUAAAGCGUGCGCAGGCGGAUUGUUAAGCAAGAUGUGAAAUCCCCGGGCUCAACCUGGGAAUUGCAUUUGAUACUGGCAGACUAGAGUGAGGUAGAGGAGAGUGGAAUUCCCGGUGUAGCAGUGAAAUGCGUAGAGAUCGGGAGGAACAUCAGUUGCGAAGGCGGCUCUCUGGACCAUCACUGACACUGAGGCACGAAAGCGUGGGGAGCAAACAGG
rnacentral:rRNA from 1 species